GACUCUUCUGAACAUAAGCAAGGAGGAACUCAGCGAAAUGAUACAGAAGAGUUUCCGGCUGUAAGUCUGCAAAAUAAUUUGCAUUAUAGAAUUUAGUGGUGCUUUGCUUUUUAAAACCCCUACGUAUUAUAUAUAAGGUCAACAUGAACAUGCAAAACUGCAUGGAAAAACACUCAAGCUGUUCUUAAGAGAAAUCAAGUAUAACAAUGACAUUGAAUAGAUUUUGGAUACCUUUAAUAGAGUGUUAUUUUCUCCACAGUCUACAAUCCAGCAGCUAUUGAGAAGAGGCAAGGAACAGAACCUUCCAGACGCUUCCUGAUGGACAUGGACACUGGGAUGCUCAAGCACGAAGUUAGCGAAAUGAACAGAAGAGUUUCCGGCUUCUACAAUCCUCCAGCUUAUGAGAUGAGGAAGGGAACCCAGAAUUCUCGCGCCACUCUGGUGGAUCCCAGAACUGGACAACGGCUGGAAUCUCUAACAGAGCUCCAGAGGAACGCAGCGCCAUGUGAGUGCUUCGAAACGUGAUAUCAGCCAUGUUCUAAGACUUGAAUGUUUUUAUGUAACUGGUCAGCUGGUAAGAGCUGUGCGGGUCCACCUUAUUUUUAAGAGUGCAUUUAAUUACCAUUUUUUAACCAGAACUUUCAAUUCAAGCAUUAAAAAAAUGUCAUUGUUUGUGUGAACUAUCUUUACAAUACUGUGUGUUUUCCAGUGGAUGAGUUCAGACAAGGCACUGAGUACCAGCCGCACACCCUGCAGGAGCUCAGGAUGCAUGACAUUGUUAGACCAAAGUAAAGCGCUUAAAACGUGUACGAAAGUCACCGUGUUUAGAAUUGGUGAGCUUUUCCUUAUCAAUGAACGUUAUCUUUGUUGGCUAAUAUGACACCAUUAAGUUACAUAACUAUUCAUUGUCAUCAUCAUUUGGAACAUGUUUGAACUUUGUGCUAUUAUUAAAAAAUGCUUGCACCAUGCAGGAAAUACUGAUUUUUUUUGGUCAUUUUUCCAGAUGAGGCCUGGUGGACAACGUUUGGCUGUGUUCGUACCCUAUGACUGCAUGAAGACCAUCUCAGAACAUCUAGUUGACUGUACUGUUGUAUUCAGAGGUUUCAUGCAAUAAAAGUGUCAUGCGAUAUUUGGAAUGACUGCACAAGUUAUAUCUGCAAAAUAAAUGCAUUACCAAAAUCAUAUUUUUGGCUUGUUAAACAUGUUUUUUACGUUUAGUGACCUAUGAGACAUACAGUCAUGGCCAAAAAUAUCUGCACCCUUGGUAAAUAUGAUCAAAGAAGGCUGUGAAAAUUAAUCUGCAUUGUUAAUCCUUUUGAUCUUUUAUUAAAAAAAAACUCAAAAAUCUAACCUUUCAUUGGAUAAUACGAAAUUUAAAAUGGGGGGAAAUAUCAUUAAGAAAUAAAUGUUUUUCUCUAACACACAUUGGUCACAAUUAAUGGCACCCUUUUAUUCAAUACUUUUUUAAACCUCCAUUUGUCAGCCCACUCUGUUAACAGCUUUAAAUGUUCUCCUAUAAUGCCUGAUGAGGUUAGAGAACACCUGACAAGAGAUCAGAGACCAUUCCUUCAUCCAGAAUCACUCUGUAGGGUUCAGGUCAGAGGACUGGAAUGGCUGUAGCAGAAGCUUGGUUUUGAGCUCAGUGACCCAUUUCUGUGUUGUUUUUGAGGUUUGAGUUUGGGUUAUUGUACGGUUGGAAGAUCCAAACAUGGCCCAUUAUAAGAGUCAGUCACUUACUGAUUUUUUAUCUGUUGGUAUUUGAUAAAAUCCAUGAUGCCAUGUAUCUAAACAAGAUGUCCAGUAUAGGCCCACAACAUCAAAAAUACAGCAGUAUAUUUCAUUGUACACAUGGGGUACUUUUUAUCCCUGUGUUCACCAAACCCAUCUUGAGUGUUUGCUGCUAAAAAGCAAUUUUUUAGUUUCGUCUGACCAUAGAAGCCAUUCCCAUUUGAAGUUCCAGUCGUGUCUGAUAACUGAAUAUGCUGGAGUUUGUUUUUGAAUGAGCGAGGAGAAUUUUUCUUGAAACCCUCCCAAACAGCAUGUGUUGAUGUAGGUGCUGUUUGACUAAUUUUUUUAAAGGUUUUCUGACCCAGAGACUCAACUAUUUUCUGCAAUUCUCCAGCUGUGACCCUUGGAGAGCAAUUCUCCAGCUGUGACCCUUGGAGAGUCUUUAGCCACUCAAGAGUCUUUAGCCACUCAAACUCUCCUCCUCACCGUGCAUUAGGACGAUAUAGACACACGUCCUCUUCCAGGCAGAUUUAUAACAUUUUCUGUUGGUUGGAAAUUCUUAAUUAUUGCCCUGAUGGUGGAAAUGGGAAUUUGUGAAGCUCAAUAAUAUUUUGCUGCACAUCAGAAAUAUAUUCUUUGGUUUUUCUCAUUGUAAUGGAUGAUUAAGGGAAUUUGGGCUAUCGAUAAUUUCAUGUUCAUAAUCACCCUGGAGUGCUCAAAAUUGUGAAUAUGAAUGGGAAUAUACUUCAGAGAUAUUUUACUCAUAAGAAUUUCUAGGGGUGCCAAUAAUUGUGUCCAAUGUGUAUUUGAGAAAAACAUUAAUUUCAUACUGAUAUUUCCCCCCAUUUUAAAUUCUUAUUAUCAAAUGAAAGGUUAGAUUUCUGUGAAUUUUUAAAAUAAAAGAUCAAAAGGAUUAACAAUGCAGAUUAAUUUUCGCAGCCUUCUUUGAUCAUAUUUACCAAGGGUGCCAAUAUUUUUGGCCAUAACUGUAUCCCUUGUUUUUUUGUGUCUUAGAGUUGUUUGGAUAAGACACAACUGUUGCUAUGCAGCCCGCAGAUAAGACAUCAACGUUCAAACUGUUCAGUCGUGUUAUAUAAUAAUUUACUGCAGACCUGUUGGU
rnacentral:lncRNA from 1 species